rnacentral:rRNA from 1 species
AGAGUUUGAUCAUGGCUCAGGACGAACGCUGGCGGUGUGCCCUAAUUCUUGCGAGUCUGAACGAUGAAGCUUACUUCUGAUUCCUUCUGGGAUGAUGAGGUUAGCUCUACAGUGGCGAACGGCCGCAGUAACGCUUUGGUUAAUCUAUCCCUGUAUGGGGGGGAUAACUCUCUCCACAAGGAAGGCUAUAUAUCA